CUUCAAUGAUCUCGCUGAAUGUCAAACUCGGGCAAAGCUGCUCUGAAUCUCUACAAAGUGAGACAAAGCCGGGCCGCUCUAUGACUUUGUUCCAAGACAGGCAGAAGCAAGGCCGUUGUGAGGCAGCCAGACAUGGCCAGCACAGGAGGAGCCAACCUGGAGCACAAUGGGGACACACCCACUGAAGGCCAGCACUGUAAAAGGAGACAAACUACCACAGCCAGGUAGGAUGAAUAGCAGUGAUUGAUAUUCUAAACACAUAUCAAUCACCUGGGUGGGGGACCAAGAUUUUCCUGGAAAGACUCCUGACCCACCCCUUACCACUGAAAAUCCUUGCUCAUUCCUUGUACACUUGCUCCAUUGGAUCCUGAAUGUUCUCUUUCCAGAUGAUGAUUAAGAUGCUAAUAAAAUAAAAAUGGUCCCAGGUACCAUAACAGCAACAGAACUUUGCUGUUUUCUGGAUAUUAUUCUUUUC
rnacentral:lncRNA from 1 species